rnacentral:rRNA from 1 species
AGCGAACGCUGGCGGCAGGCCUAACACAUGCAAGUCGAGCGCCCCGCAAGGGGAGCGGCAGACGGGAGAGUAACACGUGGGAACGUACCCUUUGGUUCGGAACAACCCAGGGAAACUUGGGCUAAUACCGGAUAAGCCCUUACGGGGAAAGAUUCAUCGCCGAAGGAUCGGCCCGCGUCUGAUUAGCUAGUUGGUGGGGUAACGGCCCACCAAGGCGACGAUCAGUAGCUGGUCUGAGAGGAUGAUCAGCCUCACUGGGACUGAGACACGGCCCAGACUCCUACGGGAGGCAGCAGUGGGGAAUAUUGGACAAUGGGCGCAAGCCUGAUCCAGCCAUGCCGCGUGGGUGAUGAAGGCCCUAGGGUUGUAAAGCCCUUUCGGCGGGGAAGAUAAUGACGGUACCCGCAGAAGAAGCCCCGGCUAACUUCGUGCCAGCAGCCGCGGUAACAC